rnacentral:rRNA from 1 species
CUACGGGUUGCAGCAGUGAGGAAUAUUGCACAAUGGGGGGAACCCUGAUGCAGCAACGCCGCGUGGAGGAUGACGCAUUUCGGUGUGUAAACUCCUUUUAUAUGUCAAGAAAAUGACGGUAGCAUAUGAAUAAGCACCGGCUAACUCCGUGCCAGCAGCCGCGGUAAUACGGAGGGUGCAAGCGUACUCGGAAUCACUGGGCGUAAAGGACGCGUAGGCGGGCUUGUAAGUCAGGUGUGAAAUCCUACAGCUUAACUGUAGAACUGCAGUUGAAACUACGAGCCUAGAGUAUGGGAGGGGCAGAUGGAAUUAGUGGUGUAGGGGUAAAAUCCGUAGAUAUCACUAGGAAUACCUAAAGCGAAGGCGAUCUGCUGGAACAUAACUGACGCUAAGGCGUGAAAGCGUGGGGAGCAAACAGGAUUAGAUACCCUCGUAGUC